rnacentral:rRNA from 1 species
UGCAAGUCGAACGGGCUCUUUCGGGAGCUAGUGGCGGACGGGUGAGUAACGCGUGAGAAUCUACCAAAAGGAUCGGGACGACCACUGGAAACGGUGGCUAAUACCGGAUGAGCCGCAACGUAAAAAGGGAAACCUGCCUUUUGAAGAGCUCGCGUCUGAUUAGCUAGUUGGUAGGGUAAAAGCCUACCAAGGCAACGAUCAGUAGCUGGUCUGAGAGGAUGACCAGCCACACUGGGACUGAGACACGGCCCAGACUCCUACGGGAGGCAGCAGCGGGGAAUUUUCCGCAAUGGGCGAAAGCCUGACGGAGCAAGACCGCGUGAGGGAAGAAGGCUCUUGGGUCGUAAACCUCUUUUAUCAGGGAAGAAAGAAAUGACGGUACCUGAAGAAUCAGCCUCGGCUAACUCCGUGCCAGCAGCCGCGGUAAUACGGAGGAGGCAAGCGUUAUCCGGAAUUAUUGGGCGUAAAGCGUCCGCAGGUGGCUUAUCAAGUCUGCUGUCAAAGAGUGGGGCUUAACCCCAUUAAGGCAGUGGAAACUGAGAAGCUAGAGUGCCGUAGGGGUAGAGGGAAUUCCCGGUGUAGCGGUGAAAUGCGUAGAGAUCGGGAAGAACAUCGGUGGCGAAAGCGCUCUACUGGACGGCAACUGACACUCAGGGACGAAAGCUAGGGGAGCGAAUGGGAUUAGAUACCCCAGUAGUCCUAGC